AUCCCACAGAAGUUGGGGAGGCUGCUCAUGAGCUUCUUGUCGUUCAUCAGCUGCAUCAGGUAUGCUAGACCAGUCGUCUAACAGGACCAUUUCUGGACAAAAAGAUCUGCUUCACAGAAGCUGCUCAAACUUGGAAACAGGCUGAGUCGAUUCUCUGGGUUUAUAGAACUGUUGAAGAAGAUGAGAGAGCUGAUGUCAUCAGUUAAAGGAAGGAGAAGACUGAUUGCAAAUUACCAGGAGAACUCUUGUUUAUUACCUGCCCUGAACAGCUGAAGCUGAUCCUGAAACUUUUCAGAAUGCCAUGAAUGGAGCAGAGGAGACACAAGUCCUUGUUUUUGUCCUUGUGGAUCUUAUAUGUUCCUAACCAUGUCCUGCAGGCUGAUUUUAUGCAAUUGACUUCAGUGGGAUUUAUGGCCAUGUAACACUGAAUAACAUGGCAGAUGUACUUUCAUUUGUAAAUCCAGAUACAUAUUGGGGCAAAUUGUAUUUCCUCCAUUUUAGAAACCAAGUAAGGAAAAUUAGAAGUGCAACCCUAAACAGUGUUACACCCUUGUCAGCCCACUGACUUCAAUGGAUUUAGAAGGGUGCAACUCUGUUUAGGAUUGCACAGUAAAUUACAGAAUAAAAGCACACUUAGUCCAGAAUUAAAACUUCUUUAUUCUAGAUUUAUUAUUGUCACCUAAUUGUAAGUAUUCCAGACUGAUCUACACUGAAUACUGAUUCUGUUCUCACCGUUAUUCAGGCUGCCAUGAGAGCAUCUGUUCGUUAUUUGUUAAUGUGAAUAACCCCCCCCAUAACUCAGCCUUGCAAAUAAGAUGUAACUAGCCCUCAAAAGGUAUCCUAAUAUAUAUCAAUGUGGUUUUUUGUAGAAUAAAAGAAAUGA